CUGAAAAAUCACGAUCGUUUGCUUUCUGCUAGAUGGCAAAUUAAAGUGCUUCCCCACAAAAGCCAUGUACUUGAACGUAUAUCGGUUAUUUGGAACCCCACAUGCAAUGACCAGGUCCUUACGAGCCUUGUUCAGGACUGAGCUUUUCUCCGCCAAAGCAAUUGAAUCACAAGCCACUUUGAGGGAGAAGAAAUCGUCGGAGAUGGUGAAAUUUUUGACUACCCAACAAGGAAAAGUAAUCAAUAUUGGAGAAGUUGUGUUUGCUACUAUUUUUAAUACAAUUUCUAAUCUGUUAUUCUCCAAGGACAUGAUUGGUUUGGA
rnacentral:misc_RNA from 1 species